AACGUAGGGGACGAACGUUAUCCGGAGUUACUGGGCGUAAAGGGCGUGUAGGCGGUUUGUUAAGUCUGGCGUGAAAGCUCUCGGCUAAACAGGGAGAGGUCGUUGGAUACUGGCGAACUAGAGGAUGGUAGAGGCGUGUGGAAUUCCGGGUGUAGUGGUGAAAUGCGUAGAGAUCCGGAGGAACACCAGUGGCGAAGGCGACACGCUGGGCCAUACCUGACGCUAAAGCGCGACAGCAUGGGGAGCAAACGGG
rnacentral:rRNA from 1 species